ACCGAUCCUAGGCUUGAAGACGCAAGACUUAGAUCUUCUUAGCCUCAUCUCUUCCUCUUUCCUCAUCGUCGUCGUCUUCCGCUUCCCAAUCCAAACCUGGACCCCAGUAUGGUUGGACCGGCCCAACCUCCUAAAUCCACCCUCAAAUUCCUCUGUAGCUACGGCGGCAAAAUCCUUCCCCGCUAUCCCGACGGCAAGCUCCGUUAUAUCGGUGGCCAUACACGUGUCCUCUCCGUCGACCGAUCUAUUUCCUUUUCCGAGCUGUUGGUGAAGUUGGGAGAGCUCUGUGGCUCGGAAGCUGUGACACUUCGCUGUCAAUUGCCCACCGAAGAUCUCGAUGCUUUGGUAUCUAUCAGCUCUGACGAGGAUCUGGCGAAUCUGAUCGAGGAAUACGAUCUGGUUGCGCUGCCGUCAUCUUUAAAGAUCAGAGCGUUCCUUUCGCCGCCGAAAUCGUUGCAGAAAAAACAUUCUAUUCCGUCCUCGUCGUCUAUGUCAAAAUCAUUAUCAUCUUCAUCUACGUCUUCGUCCUUGUCACCUCACAAUUCUACUGCUGGUAGUUGUGGAUGCUCUACUUGUGGCUGCAGCCCAAGAUACUCGGUGUUGGUGACGCCGGUCGUCGAUCGAUGUGCGCGUCAGAUGUCAGCGCCGAUAGCGUUUGACUUGAGAAAAUCUGCUGGGAGGAAUAUUCUUCUUCCUCAAUAUGCUUACCCGACGCAGGGAAACCCGGGCAACAUUUGCGUCAUGCACAGCGGGAACCACUGGCCAUAGAGACAGGGUGAUCUGAACCAUGGAUAUGAUGGGAACUGUUUGGAAACUAAAAGAAGAGCAAAAUGAACUUAAGAUAUUAUAAUUAUAAUUAAAACAUCGUAAGAAAAAAAGUCGGGAUCUAUGAUGUAAAAGAGACUGUAAAUCGUUGGGACGUCUUGCCCUUCUAGCUUGUGAUCCUUGGCCAUUAAAUUAAUUUCAGUCCUAUUACAUCUUCUUGGCUGCAAUUUUGCGAUGGUUGAAUGAUCAGAAUGAGGCGGCUCAAUCAGGAAGCUACAGCAAGUAAUCCUAGUCAUACGAGAUUGCAUUUGACAAGAUGUGCGACUAGACUGGCUGCAUCAUGUGCUCUGAUCCAUUCUAUUUUACCUUCCAUUUAUUGAAGAAAUUGAAGACAAUAGUUGGUAAUAUAUAAGAAGUAACUAUUGUCUGUUACUCUUCAGAAUACCGGCAGGCAUUCUCUAGGGAUUAGAAAGUAUCUGCAUUGUUAUAACCAAGCUAUUUGUUUUGUUCUUCUAUUCGGUGAACUUAUACAGCCAAGUUAUUGUGGUUUGAGUUCAGGUUUGGUGUCGGAAGCAGAUUCUAUUAGGCUGCUACGUCAAAUGGACAUGCUGUUUCGAAUCUCAUGGAAUUGGGGACCAUACACUUGAAGCUUCCUUCUAAUGGAAUGAUGUAGAGCUUGCAAACGCGAAGGGUGUGAACUGAUCCUAAUAAACUAUCUCAGCACAGCUGGCACAUGGAAGUUUGCCACAAUAACUUGAACAAAUACAGAUACCAAGACAAAAAGAAAAAGUUAAAAAAAAGAGGAAGAAGAUCGAAAACUUGAAUAUAAAACUUUGAAGAUAUGGUUGUGGCGUCUCCAAAUGGAGAGGGACAGUAUGACUUGGGUGGGAAGCAAAAGGACCCCUCCUCCCUUGAUGUUGAAGGGAAAGAUUCCCUUAGCUGUCCAGUUUUGGAAAGAUAUGAGAUGUUCACACACCCGAAUAACCGGACCUAAUUCCAAUUUUAAAAGACUAUUGUGAAGGCCUAAACAAAAAUCUGGGAGUCAAUUAAUGUUUUAUUACACAUCAGGAGAGUUUAAGGUUAUUCUUCCUGCCCCCAGCAUAUGUGAUCUUUUAUAGUGGGUAUUCCUCCAUGUUUGGUCAUGUCUAUUCGCAGCAUUGGAUCGGCUGGGGUUUCAGUAUGGAUAUCCAUAAAGUAUUGAGAUGUAAGGUCUUUUCUCAAUGACGCCAAACAUUGAAUGGAAUAUGUUUAAUUCUUUCAAUGAUGUGGAAUGAAUGGGUGGAGUCCUUACAUAGAGAUGACACGAAAAGUGCCAAUCACCUUGUAGUCUAUUGGUAUAAAAAUUCUCUCAUAAGGGAGGUCG